GGGCCCGUAGCUCAGCCUGGUAGAGCAAUGGACUCUUAAUCCAUGUGUCGAGGGUUCGAAUCCCUCCGGGCUCG
rnacentral:tRNA from 1 species